UACGUAGGCAGCGAGCGUUGUUCGGAGUUACUGGGCGUAAAGGGUGUGUAGGCGGUUGUUUAAGUUUGGUGUGAAAUCUCCCGGCUCAACUGGGAGGGUGCGCCGAAUACUGAAUGACUUCGAGUGCGGGAGAGGAGAGUGGAAUUCCUGGUGUAGCGGUGAAAUGCGUAGAUAUCAGUCGGAACACCGGUGGCGAAGGCGGCUUCUUGGGCCAUUACUGACGCUGAGGCGCGAAAGCCAGGGGAGCGAACGGG
rnacentral:rRNA from 1 species